CCUACUUGUUGGUGCACAGUUUGGAUUCCAGCAGGGCAUAUCAUCUGACCUCAUUACAGCCUUGGUUCAAACAUGGACAGAGGUGUGAAAUUGCAGGGGUGAGUUUGCUCGCAGCAAGGUUUUGAAACAGCAGAAGACAUAAAUGACAGAACAACUUUUAUUAUUAUUGGACAGGACAGUUCCCAACUUUUCAAGCACUGCGAAGGGAUUUAUUCAUGAUUGAAAAAGCAACUGGGAUAUUAGGUUUGCAUCUCAUCAAGGUCAACUUUGGAGCCAGCGUUGCCUCACCUUGGUGGGAUUCAUUGUGGAAAUAAAAUCAGCACUGACCAUCCAGCAGGAUGACCUCAGGAGAUGGUUUAUGGUAUUUGAUAAGGACCAUCACAAAAUGGAUAAUAGUGAAGGGCAUGGUACUGCAGUCACUGGAAGGACAAACUGUGGAAGAUUAAUUCCCUUUUUCCUGUAUUUAACCUCUCCUGAUGAAGGCAUUUCUGACUGUUUUCCACAUGUUCUGGAAGGAAUUUCACCUGUAUCCCUGUCUAUCACUUCACUGCCUUCUGGAGAAGAGGAAUAGCCAGAUUCUCUGUGGUCCUUGAUAUGGAAAUCCAUUCACUAUUUCAGGUUUCACGGACGGAGAUAAAAAGGACUCGCACUGUUAUCACUGUCAGGCACAAUUCAUAGUCUCAAGCAAGAUAACAUUGUUUUCAGUAGGACUUCACAGAUUUCUGAUAACUUUUAUCAGACAGUGGGUGGUGUUAAACCAUUCCAGUUUAUUUUUAUUCGGAGUUAUCUACUGAGCAAAAGGGCAAAGCAUGCAACUCUACAAUUCCAGAAAUGUACAAGGAUUAUUUAAAGAAUACCUCACCUCAGGAAUGUUUGCAGAUGCCAUUGCUGCAACUCAGUUCUUGACAUUUUGUGGUUGUAAGUGCGUUAGAGGUUGUGAACAGCGUAUGUUCAGCAUCAAUAUUCAGAAAAUCUCAAAUAAAUUUUGAC